rnacentral:ncRNA from 1 species
UUAAAUCCUAUGAGCAGGAGUAGUAAGUAUUAUAAUUUAGGCUAAGAGAGUCUGAGAUGGUGGGAUUCAGAUGCUAAUGUUAAUGCCGAAUGGAUCUGUAAGGUGUGAUGUGAAUUAAUAGUAGCAGUAUCCGGUAGUCUACCGUUAAAAAGACAGGGUAUCGAGAAUAUUUCUCCGUACCUGAAAGAGAGAGUUUUAUUUGGGUGGCUAAGAAAUUGGGCAUUUCUUCCUAAAAGGGAGAAAUGCUUUUUAUUUUUGACUGUACCAUCUAAUAUAAGAUUAAUAUGGGUGGUACCGCGGAAAAUACACUUCGUCCCUUUU